AUGGAGCGGCCCCCGGGGCUGCGGCCGGGCGCGGGCGGCCCCUGGGAGAUGCGGGAGCGGCUUGGCGCCGGCGGCUUCGGGAACGUCUGUCUGUACCAGCACCGGGAGCUUGAUAUCAAAAUAGCAAUUAAGUCUUGUCGCCUGGAGUUAAGUACCAAAAACAGAGAACGAUGGUGCCAUGAAAUCCAGAUGAUGAAAAAGUUGGACCAUGCAAAUAUCGUAAAGGCCUGUGAUGUUCCUGAGGAACUGAACUUUUUAAUUAAUGAUGUGCCUCUUCUAGCAAUGGAGUACUGUUCUGGAGGAGAUCUCCGGAAGCUACUCAACAAACCAGAAAAUUGUUGUGGACUUAAAGAAAGCCAGAUACUUUCUUUACUGAGUGACAUAGGAUCUGGGAUUCGAUAUUUGCAUGAAAACAAAAUUAUACAUCGAGAUCUAAAACCUGAAAAUAUAGUUCUUCAAGAAGUUGGUGGGAAGAUAUUACAUAAAAUAAUUGAUUUGGGUUAUGCCAAAGAUGUUGAUCAAGGAAGUCUCUGUACAUCUUUUGUGGGAACAUUACAGUAUUUGGCUCCAGAGCUCUUUGAAAAUAAGCCAUACACAGCCACUGUGGAUUAUUGGAGCUUUGGGACCAUGGUAUUUGAAUGUAUUGCUGGAUAUAGGCCUUUUUUGCAUCAUCUGCAGCCAUUUACCUGGCAUGAAAAGAUUAAGAAGAAAGAUCCAAAGUGUAUAUUUGCUUGUGAAGAGAUGACCGGAGACGUUCGGUUUAGUAGCCAUUUACCUCAGCCAAACAACCUUUGUAGUUUAAUAGUAGAGCCCAUGGAAAGCUGGCUACAGUUGAUGCUGAAUUGGGACCCACAGCAGAGAGGGGGACCUAUUGAAACUACUUCAAAGCAGCCAAAAUGUUUUGUAUUAAUGGAUCACAUUCUCAACCUAAAGAUAGUGCACAUACUAAAUAUGACUUCUGCGAAAAUCGUUUCUUUUCUGUUGCCAUGUGAUGAAAGUUUCCAUUCACUGCAGUCUCGUAUUGAGCGUGAAACGGGAAUCAAUACCGCUUCCCAAGAGCUCCUGUCUGAGACAGGGAUUUCUCUGGAUCCUCGGAAACCAGCCUCUCAAUGUGUUCUCGAUGGAGUUAGAGGCUGUGAUAGCUACAUGGUUUAUUUGUUUGAUAAAAGUAAGACUGUAUAUGAAGGACCAUUUGCAUCCAGAAGUUUAUCUGAUUGUGUAAAUUAUAUUGUUCAAGACAGCAAGAUACAGCUUCCAAUUAUACAGCUGCGUAAAGUAUGGGCUGAAGCAGUGCACUAUGUAUCUGGGCUAAAAGAAGACUAUAGCAGGCUUUUUCAGGGACAAAGAGCAGCAAUGUUAAGUCUUCUUAGAUAUAAUGCUAACUUGACAAAAAUGAAGAAUACUUUGAUCUCAGCAUCACAACAACUCAAAGCUAAAUUGGAGUUUUUUCACAAAAGCAUUCAGCUUGACUUGGAGAGAUAUAGUGAGCAGAUGACUUAUGGGAUAUCUUCAGAAAAAAUGCUGAAAGCAUGGAAAGAAAUGGAAGAAAAGGCCAUUCACUAUGCUGAGGUUGGUGUCAUUGGAUACCUUGAGGAUCAGAUUAUGUCUUUGCAUACUGAAAUCAUGGAGCUUCAGAAGAGCCCCUAUGGAAGACGCCAGGGAGACUUAAUGGAAUCUCUGGAACAGCGUGCCAUUGAUCUCUAUAAGCAGUUAAAGCACAGACCUACAGAUCACUCCUACAGUGACAGCACAGAGAUGGUGAAGAUCAUUGUGCACACUGUGCAGAGUCAAGACCGUGUUCUCAAGGAGCUGUUUGGUCACCUGAGCAAGUUGUUGGGCUGUAAGCAGAAGAUUAUUGAUCUACUCCCCAAGGUGGAAAUUGCUCUCAGUAACAUCAAAGAAGCUGACAAUACUGUCAUGUUUAUGCAGGGAAAGAGGCAGAAAGAAAUAUGGCACCUCCUUAAAAUUGCCUGUACACAGAGUUCUGCCCGCUCUCUUGUAGGAUCCAGUCUAGAAGGCACUGUAACCCCUCCAGCGUCAGCAUGGCUUCCCCAUAUGUUACCAGAACGCGACCGUCCUCUGACAUGUGUGGUAACUCCUCGCGAUGGCGUAAGGUGUGCCGUGUGCAAGUGGCUCUUUGCUAGCUUGUGUAUUGUCGCUUUUCUCACAACUAAUGGAGACCUCCGCAGCACCAACAUUUCCCAGAAGUCUGCCCAUAAUUAGUUUUGCAGAAGUGCACCCAUGUUACAUCUCUGCUCAGGAGGUCAUGCAGUUGCAUAUUCUGUACUCUGCUUUUAUGAAAGAAAAAAACACAUGACAGGAAGGCAAGCUGAUAUCAGGUAUUUUAUUGUUUAAAGAAAGCAAGUUCCAGUGUAUAUCUUGGGGGUCACCAUAUAUGUGGCCCACUAUGAAUGCAUAUACAAGUAUAGCAGAGGUUGUGACUUGUAGACUUCAGGAAAUACUCUAUUAGAACUGAAGGAAGUAAAAUUUAGCACAUCCUAACCCUUCAUUUUCAUUAAAGGCAUUUAGGCUUGGUAGGGAUGCUAAUUCCUAAUACCGGCUCUUGUAAGUAGCUCCCAAUUGAGUGUGUAGUUGUUUGCAACGUACAUUUUCUGAUAAAGGAAAGCUGAUCUUAAUUACCAAGAUUAGGAAAUUGUUGCCAUGAAAUUUUCUCUCUGUCGGAUAAUAGCUGAAUCAGUGUUUAGUUCUAAGCUGACAGUGUAGAGAAGAGGAACUGCACUUUGGCAAAGGAUCAUGACAGGACAUGUGGGAGAAACUGGAAUCAGGGCCUCCUGAUUUCUUCUGCUGUUCUUAGCGGUUGGCUUGCUUUUUUCCAUUGCUACUAUCUGAUUUCCAAUCAGUUUUUCUCUUUCCUGGAUUUCUGGAGACCAUAAAUCCUCCCCCACCACACACACACUUUGUUUGUGUGUAAAGUGAGCAUGCUGGUGUUUUACUGAUUGUAAAAGGAAAAAGAAAUCAUCCAGAAACAAAACAAAACAAGUGCUAUUUCAUUUGUCUGUACCAAGGGGCUCUUUCCCCCUACCCUGUUAUUUCUUCAGGGAAUGGUGAGGAGUUACCAGUGCCACCUGUCUCAGAAGGAAACCUGAUUAGAGUUACAGUGGCCUUACUAGGGUAGGCAGAAAGUGGUGGCUUAGAUGAAGUGGGAUGUUGUGUCUGAGUGGGAGGGAUGAAGAAACUGAAGAUGGCAGCAGUCAGCUUUGUUGGGGUGUUGGGUUGCAGAAAGUGGUCAUCUUGACCAGAACAUAGGCAAUACUCAGGUGCUUUUUUUGCUGAACUUGAAAUAGUUUGCUCUUUCAUCCAUCAGAGGGACUUUAACACAAAUGAUAGAAGAAAAUCUGAACUGUCUUGGCCAUUUAAGUACUAUUAUUCGUGAAACAAAUGAGGAACAGAGCAGUAGCAUGUCGAGUCUUGAUUGGAGUUGGUUAACAAAAUGACUUGCCAUUUGUUCACUGUCCUCAAGCCUAUGACAGUUGUUUUUGCGCGUGUUCGACAUUCACCUUUGCCCACUGAAGCCGUUCUUCACACACCAGUCAGCAGAGGAAACUAUGAAUGACUUUACAAGCACAGUAUCUUGAUUCUUUUAUAAUGAUUGUGACCUCUGAACAGACAGAAUUUUAUUACAGACUAAUGAAGUUAAUUAUUUUUAACACUGCCAUUAUCUAGAGAGAUCAUUAGUAACCUGCUUAUCUUUAAAAUUGACAAAAUACUACUUGUUUAACUGAUUAAAUAUAUACAUAUUUUAAAGACAGGGUUUCUCUGUGUAACAGCUCUGACUGUCCUGGAUCUUGCUUUGUAGACCAGGCUGGCUUCGAACUCACAGAGAUCCACCUGCUUCUCUCUCUUGAGUACUGAGAUUAAAGGCCGGCACCACGACUGCCAAGUCCAGUGUUCAUUUUAAGUAAAAGUUGCCUACCCAUGUUUCUAUGGAAGAGACAGCCCACAAGUAAAAUUGUUUCCUGAAGACUAGCCUGUCUCCUUGUGUUGUUCUGGCUUCAUAAGAGAGUUAGAUGAAUUCCAUCUCUAACCACACAUGUAAUAGUGUCCUCUUCUUAAUAAGGGAUUGCACAUGUGUGCCUUUGAUAUCGACUGACCGUAAUGAAUUGUAUUGUAUUCUGUAUGUAUAUGUAUUUAAGGUGUACAUUUAAUAACAUGAAAGAGGAGAUGCCUGUUAAUUUAUAAUGUAUUUGAAGGUUGUAUGUUUUUGCAUUUGUAAAAAUGGGUCACUUGUUUAAACAAUCUUUUGUGUUUUGUCAUACAAGUUUUAAAAGUUUGCAUUCCUUUAUUUGUAAUUAUACUCUCAAAAUCCAAGAAGUUCUGAAAACAAGGUUUUCCUAAGCUUGGUAACAAAAUUCAUUUGCUUCUGGAUCUAUUCUGACUUGACACUGAAUCUGUUUAUCCCAUUUUGUGUGAAUGUUCAUUUAUUUUACUACAUAAAUAUUAAUGUGUUUGAUUACUGGGGGUGCUGCCACAAACUCUUUUGAGGGUUAAUGUAGUAUGGUAUAUGCACUGAAUUACCUUUCUAAAAUCUGAAAAUUUCAUAAUUCUGAAACAUCUAGACUUAGGGGUUUCAGAUAAAAGAUUGUGGAUUUCUGCCUUCUGUUAAAUAAUUUAGAAGGUGUUACUUUGUUUAAAAAUGUGAAAUGCUUUUAUAUCCUAGUUUUUCACUUUGCAUAUUAAAUGAUUUUAAAAUUGU